GAUAAUUUAUUUUUACUUCAACUUUAAAAGGAUAAGUCAUACAUAAUUUUCUUGAUAACAGGUCAUUUUAACACCUAUCCCCUGCCUGUUUCACUAUAUCAUGGGCUGUCACUAGCUAUUUGAAUAAAAAUGUUCAAAUAUUGGAGAAGGACACAGAUUGCACUUCAUUACUGGUGGAAUAAAGAUGUUCAUAUCACAAUGACAUAAGAGUUGUUUAAUUGAUGUCAAUGUGUGUGUCUUCUAACAUACAUACAAGCUAUUUUUGGAUGUAAACUUCUGGGGUGACUUUGGACAUUACACAUAGUUUUGUUAUUGCACAGCAACUCCUACACGAGCUGGAUAUUAGUCAGCAGCCCCUUUCUUAAGGCCUACUCUUCAUUCUCAAUCACAGUUUCAGCUCCAGUCACUCGCUGAAGGUUGUGUUUCUUCUUUACAGCUGGAGUAAGAAAAGAACACAGUGAAGGAUUUCAACAACUCAAAAACAAGGGAAGUUUGUUUCUCUCCGUGGCCACGGCCUGGAUGAAUUAUGUCCACAAAGGGAGCAGCUCUGGUCUGGGAGAGAGGGAGCAGGACUGGUCCUGCAAAUCCUUAAGGUCUUCUGCUUUUUCUUUCCACAGAACCACAAAUGCAAGAUAAAGCCCAGAGAGUUUUGAUGGCAAUAAGCAAGGUCUGAAGUAAAAGCCAGGGGAUUAGAGAAUGAGUAAGUAUUCUUUACCUUGCUGCUCCUACAUUGAAUUAUUUCUAGGAUUUCUCAUAGAUUUCAUUGGGAUUUUCUGAUUUUCCUGUACGCAUUAUUGCAAUGUUACUGAGAAUCAUUGCAUAUUAUGUACUUUGAAAAUGAGUGGUUUGGGAGUUUUGAAAAAGGGUCUACUGUUGCACUUUUGUUUAUUAUUCAAGUUCAGUAUAGUGAAGUGAAGUUCUAUUUCAUUUACCCAGCACAAACCAAUGUUGGUUUUAGCAAAAGGAACAUGAAAAUGUACGUUCAGUAUUUAUUAUGUUUGUCACAAAAAUUGUAAGACUUUCCAUCCAAAAUAAAUCUGUCCAAAAUAAAUGCAUAUUUUCUCAUUAAAAUAUGAUGUUCCUCCGCAGUGUGAAUAAUAAAUAAGGCACUUCCUGAGCCUUUUAAUAGGUUCUGGCAUUUUAGACAAUGCAGAAUUUCUCCAGUUCCUUCAAAUGACACAGCUGGUGCUUGUCAACUGUUUUCCUAAACUCUUACCACAAAUAUGUUAUUGGACUGAAUUCACAAUUGGAGAUUGUGUUUCCUUAACCAUUUGGCAGCAGAUUCAGGUCAUCAUACAGCUGAAAAUGUGUUCCUAUCAGAGAGAACCAGGUUUUUGGAUACAAUAUCAUGAUACACUUCAGUAUCUAUCCAUCGCUGAAAUUUAACAGAAGCACAAGAACCAGAGGAUGCAAAACAGCCCCAAAGUAAGAUUGACUCACUUGCCUACUUUGCAGAAGGCCUGACUCUCGUUUUCAACAUGAGCUUUACAUUUCUGUGAUAACCACACUCCUGGCGAGAGUGUCCAAAACCUCAAUUUCAGUCUCAUCCAGUCACAUCACGGGAUGCAGCUUGACUUAGGUCAGUCGGCUGAUGUACACAAAAUGCACAUUUCUCAUGUCAUGUGGCCACGAAGCUCACAGACCCCAGAUUCAUGAGGCCAGUCUCACAUUGUAGUUUUGUAGAAAAGUCACCCUUGUGGUGCCAAAGGUUUUGGAAGCCGAUUGUCACCCUUAGGUUUGAGUUAUCCAGCCCAACCACAUUUCUGACUGCACAUUUGUGUAAAACUUUCUUGUGUCCUCUUCCUGGUGGAGUUGCAGCCACUAUAUUAACCUCAAAUGUCUCAAUAUGGAGCCCACAGUCGAAACGAGAAUAAUUUAUAACUUUCGACAGCUGUCACUUGAGAUGUCGAUGACGAUAAUCUCUUAGAUUUUUCUGAUGUCCCUCCAGAUGAAAAGGAUCUAUAUAUGAAUGUGGCCUUUGGAUCAAUAAGCAGCUAGCUCUCAAACGGGCCAGGCUGGCUGAAUGGUCUCCUCUCGUUUGUAAACCGUACUAUUUUCUUAAGUGGUCCUGGGGGUUUUGCUACCGACUUCCAGAGGCUUCUGUAAACUUUCCAAGCGUUUGCAGACCUACCAGAUGACUAAAAAACAUUGGAGGAUUAAAUGUACAACAUUUCUUUUCCCCAAAAGAAUAUUAGAAAGGAAACAAAGGAAACCUGUUGGCCUUUCAAACCCAUUUGGUUGUUAGCAAAUAAUUGAUCUGCCAUAUUUACAGGCUAGUGAUGAAUUUGAACAGUCUAUUUAGAAAUACAGUGUGUAAAAGUAUGGUUAUGUUUUUGAUACAUUCAGUACUUAUUUUCACGCAAAAAGGGUGAAAUCUCUUUAUAUACACUGGUGAAAGCAAAGCUCAUUAUUUCAUCAUCAACUCAGUUUUAUCAGUUUAUCAGUUUACGCUCAGGCAUGACAUGUUCCUGAUAGACAUUGCUAUUAUAACAAUUUCAAAUGUUAAUGAUGCCCUGGUCUUACGUCAGCUUUUGGACUGUGAAACUGGCAUCCAUUCGGCAAAAUAUACAGUAAUACGCAUAAUUGCAGGCUUGUACUCCAGAAACCACUUCCUUGAAAACAUGUUACUUUUUUUUCUUCUGUUUUCCUUACAACACAAUUGGAAGCUCUCUUAACGUCAACUAACAUGUAGAGAUUUCCUCAGCUCAAAACCAGACCAGCAUGGCUCCAGCUUCCCCUGAAACUGUAACUCAUACCACCAAUACUUCAACAAUCAUCUGUUUUAUUUCCUGGUUUUUAAUUUGUUUUCAUGUUUCUUUUUAUUUACAUUUUUGAUUUGUGGGCUUUUUAAUUUUCUUCCACACUCUGUAAAAAAUGUCUGCAUUUUUUUUUGCAAAUGUAUUAAGCACAACAAAUCUGCUGUGUUUUGGUUGUGGUGUUUUUUCUUUAUUUUGUAUACUGUAUACACACACAAGUAUACACACAGAAGGAUGUGUGUAUGGAGAUUCAUGUUAACAAGCCUGUGUAUUAAGA